AUUGAACGCUGGCGGCAUGCUUUACACAUGCAAGUCGAACGGCAGCGCGGGCUUCGGCCUGGCGGCGAGUGGCGAACGGGUGAGUAAUAUAUCGGAACGUACCCACGAGUGGGGGAUAACGUAGCGAAAGUUACGCUAAUACCGCAUACGAUCUAAGGAUGAAAGCAGGGGACCUUCGGGCCUUGUCCUCCUGGAGCGGCCGAUAUCUGAUUAGCUAGUUGGUGAGGUAAAGGCUCACCAAGGCAACGAUCAGUAGCUGGUCUGAGAGGACGACCAGCCACACUGGAACUGAGACACGGUCCAGACUCCUACGGGAGGCAGCAGUGGGGAAUUUUGGACAAUGGGGGCAACCCUGAUCCAGCAAUGCCGCGUGAGUGAAGAAGGCCUUCGGGUUGUAAAGCUCUUUUGUCAGGGAAGAAAAGGGAGUGGCUAAUAUCCAUUCCUGCUGACGGUACCUGAAGAAUAAGCACCGGCUAACUACGUGCCAGCCGCCGCGGUAACAC
rnacentral:rRNA from 1 species